UUAGGAAUAUUCGUCAAUGGGGGAAACCCUGAACGAGCAAUGCCGCGUGAGUGAUGAAGGUCCUUUGGAUCGUAAAACUCUGUUGUUAAGGAAAAAUGAUAAAGUGAGGAAAUGCAUUUUAUUUGAUGGUACUUUUCAAGAAAGCCACGGCUAACUACGUGCCAGCAGCCGCGGUAAUACGUAGGUGGCGAGCGUUAUCCGGAUUUAUUGGGCGUAAAGCGUGCGCAGACGGCUUAUUAAGUCUAAAAUAAAAGCCCGGAGCUUAACUCCGGUUCGUUUUAGAAACUGGUAGGCUUGAGUAUGGUAGAGGCAAAUGGAAUUUCUAGUGUAGCGGUAAAAUGCGUAGAUAUUAGAAGGAACACCAGUGGCGAAGGCGAUUUGCUGGGCCAUUACUGACGUUCAUGCACGAAAGCGUGGGGAGCAAAUA
rnacentral:rRNA from 1 species